rnacentral:rRNA from 1 species
GAUCAAACAAGAUAAAGCGCACGGUGAAUGCCUUGGCAUCGAGAGGCGAUGAAGGACGUGCUAAGCUGCGAAAAGCCUGGGGGAGCUGCACAGAAGCUGUGAUCUCAGGAUGUCCGAAUGGGGAAACCCGGCUGGUCGCGAGGCCAGUCACCCGAAAGGGAGCCAACCCUGGGAACUGAAACAUCUAAGUACCGGGUGGAAAAGAAAUCAAUUGAGAUUCUCCUAGUAGCGGUGAGCGAACGGGGAAGAGGCCAAACCCGACGAGCUUGCUCGUUGGGGGUUGUGGGACCGCGACAUGGGAUGUACGACGCGAGGGUGAAACGGCGUGGAAUAGCCUGCCAUAGACGGUGAAAGCCCGGUAACCGGUUGCGUACGACCUCUAGCGGUAUCCCGAGUAAUGCCGGGCACGUGGAAUCCGGCAUGAAUCUGGGGCGACCACGCUCCAAGCCUAAAUACUCCUCGAUGACCGAUAGUGGACAAGUACCGUGAGGGAAAGGUGAAAAGUACGCCAGGUGGCGAGUGAAAUAGUACCUGAAACCGUGCGCUGACAAGCGGUAGGAGCCCCGUAAGGGGUGACUGCGUGCCUUUUGCAUUAUGAUCCGGCGAGUUACUCCUCACGUGCAUGGUUAAGGCCUUCAGGGCCGUAGCCAAAGCGAAAGCGAGUCUGAAUAGGGCGCUAAGUACGUGGGGGUAGACCCGAAGCCGUGGCGAUCUACCCUUGGUCAGGUUGAAGCCGCCGUAACAGGCGGUGGAGGACCGAACUCAUGUGGGUUGAAAACCGCUGGGAUGAACUGAGGGUAGGGGUGAAAGGCCAAUCAAGCUCGGAGAUAGCUGGUUCUCCCCGAAAUAUAUUUUGGUAUGGCCUCGGGAAUUGAGUUCACAGGAGGUAGAGCACUGGAUGGGUCCGGGCGGCGUUAUAGCCGUACCUCCCCCAACCAAACUCCGAAUGCCUGUUGAAUGCUGCCCGGGAGGCAGUCGCGGUGUGCUAAUGUACCGCGGCGAGAGGGAAAGAACCCAGAGCAUCUGCUAAGGCCCCGGAGUGACGGCUCAGUGUAGCAAAGGAUGUGGGUAUGCGCUGACAGCUGGGAGGUUGGCUUAGAAGCAGCCAUUCCUUUAAAGAGUGCGUAAUAGCUCACCAGUCAAGCGUAGCCGCGCCGAUAAUGGUCGGGACUUAAGCCGUCCGCCGAAGCAGUGUCUUUGCGCGCAAGCGCAAGGGGUAGGGGAGCGUUCUGAGAGCGUUGAAGCCGGGGUGGAAACCUUCCGGUGGAGCGAUCAGAAGUGAGGAUGCCGGAUUCAGUACGCGAGAAACAGGGUGAAAACCCCUGUCACCGUAAGCCUAAGGGUUCCUGAGCCAUGUCGAUCAGCUCAGGGUUAGUCGGUCCCUAAGUCGAGGCCGAGAGGCGUAGACGAUGGGAAACGGGUCAACAUUCCCGUACCAACGGCCAAACGUUACGAGUCUGAGGAGGGACGCAGGAGCAAGGUCACCGGCGGAUUGUGGUUGUGCCGCCGUAAGCCAGGUAGACGUUUCCCCGUAGGCAAAUCCGCGGGGAUAGUCGAGUGGCGACGCCGAAGGGGACGUAAGUCCCCGCAAAGGGUGGCCGAUGCACGCUGCCAAGAAAAUCUUCGCAGACCAGGAUGGUCGUUGACCGUACCGCAAUCCGACACAGGUAGGCGAGGCGAGCAGCCUCAGGUGCUCGAGUGAUUCACGGAGAAGGAACUCGGCAAAAUGACCCCGUAACUUCGGGAUAAGGGGUGCCGGUAGUAUGUGUCACAGCAGAGGCCGGCCGCAGAGAAUCGUCCCAAGCGACUGUUUAGCAAAAACACAGGUGUCUGCUAAGGCAUAUUCCAAGCCAACGUAUAGACACUGACUCCUGCCCGGUGCCGGAAGGUUAAGGCAAGUUGUCAGCCGCAAGGCGAAGCAGCGAACCGAAGCCCCGGUAAACGGCGGCCGUAACUAUAACGGUCCUAAGGUAGCGAAAUUCCUUGUCGGGUAAGUUCCGACCUGCACGAAUGGAGUAACGACUUGGGAGCUGUCUCCUCCGUAAGCUCGGCGAAAUAGCAGU